UUACACAUGCAAGUCGAACGGUGACGGUAGAGCUUGCUCUGCCUGAUCAGUGGCGAACGGGUGAGUAACACGUGAGUAACCUGCCCCUCACUCUGGGAUAACAUCGGGAAACCGGUGCUAAUACUGGAUAUGAGAUGCCUCCGCAUGGAGAGUGUCUGGAAAGAUUUAUCGGUGGGGGAUGGACUCGCGGCCUAUCAGCUUGUUGGUGGGGUAAUGGCCCACCAAGGCGACGACGGGUAGCCGGCCUGAGAGGGCGACCGGCCACACUGGGACUGAGACACGGCCCAGACUCCUACGGGAGGCAGCAGUGGGGAAUAUUGCACAAUGGGCGAAAGCCUGAUGCAGCGACGCCGCGUGGGGGAUGAAGGCCUUCGGGUUGUAAACCCCUUUCAGCAGGGAAGAAGCGAAAGUGACGGUACCUGCAGAAGAAGCGCCGGCUAACUACGUGCCAGCAGCCGCGGUAAUACGUAGGGCGCAAGCGUUGUCCGGAAUUAUUGGGCGUAAAGAGCUCGUAGGCGGUUUGUCGCGUCUGGUGUGAAAACUCAAGGCUCAACCUUGAGCUUGCAUCGGGUACGGGCA
rnacentral:rRNA from 1 species